GGAAACAGAUGCUAAUACCGGAUAACAACAGAUGAUGCCUAUCAACUGUUUAAAAGAUGGUUCUGCUAUCACUCUUGGAUGGACCCUGCGGUGCAUUAGCUAGUUGGUAGGGUAACGGCCUACCAAGGCGAUGAUGCAUAGCCGAGUUGAGAGACUGAUCGGCCACAUUGGGACUGAGACACGGCCCAAAACUCCUACGGGAGGCAGCAGUAGGGAAUCUUCCACAAUGGACGCAAGUCUGAUGGAGCAACGCCGCGUGAGUGAAGAAGGGUUUCGGCCCGUAAAGCUCUGUUGUUGGUGAAGAAGGACAGGGGUAGUAACUGACCCUUGUUUGACGGUAAUCAAUUAGAAAGUCACGGCUAACUACGUGCCAGCAGCCGCGGGUAAU
rnacentral:rRNA from 1 species